UACGUAGGGGGCAAGCGUUGUCCGGAAUCAUUGGGCGUAAAGCGCGUGUAGGCGGUUCGGUAAGUCUGCUGUGAAAGUCCAGGGCUCAACCCUGGGAUGCCGGUGGAUACUGUCGGGCUCGAGUCCGGAAGAGGCGAGUGGAAUUCCUGGUGUAGCGGUGAAAUGCGCAGAUAUCAGGAGGAACACCAAUGGCGAAGGCAGCUCGCUGGGACGUUACUGACGCUGAGACGCGAAAGCGUGGGGAGCAAACAGG
rnacentral:rRNA from 1 species